rnacentral:lncRNA from 1 species
UCACCAUUUAUCUUAUGAAUCCGCUCGAACGUACAAGGAAGGCCUCUCUGCCCUCCUGCUCCAGGGAGGAGGUUUUGACCCUCAGCUCCACCUCUGCGGCUGGCCCGGUCUCCGCAAACCUUUUUCUGCUUGGCCAGCUGGUGCCAUGCUAGGCUUUCCCACUAGGGGCGCCAGAGAAAGCGCGCGAGGCUGCGGAGGAGAGAGGGGCACACUCUUUCCGGUUUGCUUCCGGUUUUUUCCUCAGGCUUCCGGUCUGUUUGGUGCCCUGGUCGCGUGUCUUCCGAACUCUGCUGCUUCGCCCCGGCAAGAGCACUUCCUUCCGCGGCUGCUAAAACUGGUGCGCGGGUUCCCAACUUCGCAGAAGAGCUUCAUCGGCCCCCCGCUAGAGACCUCAGACCGCAGCCAUCGACGCCUCGCCUCGGGGAUCUGUCCCCACCCUCGGGGCCAGCUCACCAUGAGUCAGGCCCUGUGCUAGGUGCUGGGAUGAAGCAGUGACUGACACAGGCCUGGACCUGUCCUUGGGAAGAGUGCGUCUGUGACACAGAUACUGUGCCAUGUGGCAAAGUAAGCGCGUGGGACAGCAGAGCCUUGUUUGCCAUUAAAGUAAUAUCAC